GCGGGCGUAGCUCAUCUGGAAGAGCGCCACCAAGCCAAGGUGGAGGUAGCGGGUUCGAGCCCCGUCGCCCGCUCCA
rnacentral:tRNA from 1 species